GGGAAACCAAUCCAAUCGACAGUAGAAGUGAUGACACAGAGAUGACCAGGCAUCCUUUAGUCACUGAGCCAGAAAGCCUCAAGACAUAUUCCAUGUUGUUGAACAGCUUCUGAGCACAGUCCCUGAAGUUAGAACAAAUGUCUUGACAUAGAGAUGAAGGGAGACCUGGAAGGGACUUUUCAGCAGAUUUAUUAGGCUCAUAUGGAUUUUGAAUCUCCAAGAGGUGGUUACAGAAUGCAGCAUUUUCCCAACUUAUUUGUCUAUGGGACUCUUUUUUGGAAGAAUGCUUAUUAAUAUUUUAAACACCUGUUGUUCCACGGAUCAGAGUAUGGAAAUGCAAUCUUUCUCUUCCAAUGGAAUAAUAACUAAAUCUUUUAACUAAAUCUUUUCAUGGAUGGGUUAACUUUAAUCCACUUUCAUUUGACU
rnacentral:lncRNA from 1 species